GACGAACGCUGGCGGCGUGCUUAACACAUGCAAGUCGAACGGAAAGGCCCUGCUUUUGUGGGGUGCUCGAGUGGCGAACGGGUGAGUAACACGUGAGUAACCUGCCCUUGACUUUGGGAUAACUUCAGGAAACUGGGGCUAAUACCGGAUAGGAGCUCCUGCUGCAUGGUGGGGGUUGGAAAGUUUCGGCGGUUGGGGAUGGACUCGCGGCUUAUCAGCUUGUUGGUGGGGUAGUGGCUUACCAAGGGUUUGACGGGUAGCCGGCCUGUGUGGGUGACCGGCCACAUUGGGACUGCGGUACGGCCCAGACUCCAACGGGAGGCAGCAGUGGGGAAUAUUGCACAAUGGGCGGAAGCCUGAUGCAGCAACGCCGCGUGCGGGAUGACGGCCUUCGGGUUGUAAACCGCUUUCGCCUGUGACGAAGCGUGAGUGACGGUAAUGGGUAAAGAAGCACCGGCUAACUACGUG
rnacentral:rRNA from 1 species